GUAACAAGGUUUCCGUAGGUGAACCUGCGGAAGGAUCAUUACCGUGGGGAUUCGUCCCCAUUGAGAUAGCACCCUUUGUUUAUGAGCACCAUUGUUUCCUCGGCGGGCUUGCCCGCCGGUGGACAUACCAAACCCUUUGUAGUAGCAGUAUCUUCAGUAAAAAAACAAAUAUUAAAACUUUCAACAACGGAUCUCUUGGUUCUGGCAUCGAUGAAGAACGCAGCGAAAUGCGAUAAGUAGUGUGAAUUGCAGAAUUCAGUGAAUCAUCGAAUCUUUGAACGCACAUUGCGCCCUUCGGUAUUCCGUUGGGCAUGCCUGUUCGAGCGUCAUUUAAACCUUCAAGCUCUGCUUGGUGUUGGGUGUUUGUUCCGCCUCUGUGCGUGGACUCGCCUCAAAUUCAUUGGCAGCCGGUAAGUUGGCUUCGUGCGCAGCACAUUGCGUCUCGAUUCCAUCCUGCCCCCUCCCAUUAAGCCUCUUUUUUACUUGACCUCGGAUCAGGUAGG
rnacentral:rRNA from 1 species